rnacentral:rRNA from 1 species
CCUACGGGAGGCAGCAGUGAGGAAUAUUGGUCAAUGGACGAGAGUCUGAACCAGCCAAGUAGCGUGAAGGAUGACUGCCCUAUGGGUUGUAAACUUCUUUUAUAAAGGAAUAAAGCGAGGCACGUGUGCCUUUUUGCAUGUACUUUAUGAAUAAGGAUCGGCUAACUCCGUGCCAGCAGCCGCGGUAAUACGGAGGAUCCGAGCGUUAUCCGGAUUUAUUGGGGUUAAAGGGAGCGUAGAUGGGUUGUUAAGUCAGUUGUGAAAGUUUGCGGCUCAACCGUAAAAUUGCAAUUGAUACUGGCAGUCUUGAGUACAGGUGAGGUAGGGGGAAGUUGUGGGGGAGCCGUGAAAUUGCU